rnacentral:rRNA from 1 species
GUAGGUGGCAAGCGUUGUCCGGAAUUAUUGGGCGUAAAGCGCGCGCAGGCGGUCCUUUAAGUCUGAUGUGAAAGCCCACGGCUCAACCGUGGAGGGUCAUUGGAAACUGGGGGACUUGAGUACAGAAGAGGAAAGCGGAAUUCCAAGUGUAGCGGUGAAAUGCGUAGAGAUUUGGAGGAACACCAGUGGCGAAGGCGGCUUUCUGGUCUGUAACUGACGCUGAGGCGCGAAAGCGUGGGGAGCAAACAGGAUUAGAUACCCUGGUAGUCCACGCCGUAAACGAUGAGUGCUAAGUGUUAGGGGGUUUCCCGCUCCUUAGUGCUGCAGCUAACGCAUUAAGCACUCCGCCUGGGGAGUACGGCCGCAAGGCUG